rnacentral:rRNA from 1 species
ACGGUUGCAGCGUCCCUGUACUAAGGUAGCGCGAUAAGUUGCCUCUUAAUUGGAGGAUGGAAUGAAUGGCUUAACGAAAAAUUUUUUUCUUUGCUGUGAAAUCAUGAAGUUUACUUUUAAAGUGAAAAGGCUUAAAUAAAACAAAAAGACGAGAAGACCCUGUCGAGCUUAAUAAGGUAUUAGAAGUUAUUAAGUAUAUAAGUUUUGCUGGGGCAGUAAGGAGCAAGUAAAAAGCUCUUUCUUUAGUAUAGAUCCAAAUUUUUUUGAUUAAGGAAAAAGUUACCGCAGGGAUAACAGCGCAAUUUUUUCUGAGAGUUCCUAUUGAAGAAAAAGGUUGCGACCUCGAUGUUGGAUUAAGGUGACUUGUUGGCGCAGGAGCUAAAGUAGUAAGAUUGUUCAUCUUUUAAAACCUU